ACGCUGGCGGCGUGCUUAACACAUGCAAGUCGAACGGAACUUCUUGGAUAGAGGCUUCGGCCAAUUGAAAUGAAGUUUAGUGGCGGACUGGUGAGUAACGCGUGAGGAACCUGCCUUUCAGAGGGGGACAACAGUUGGAAACGACUGCUAAUACCGCAUGAUGUAUCGAGACCGCAUGGUUUUGGUACCAAAGAUUUAUCGCUGAAAGAUGGCCUCGCGUCUGAUUAGCUAGUUGGUGAGGUAACGGCCCACCAAGGCGACGAUCAGUAGCCGGACUGAGAGGUUGACCGGCCACAUUGGGACUGAGAUACGGCCCAGACUCCUACGGGAGGCAGCAGUGGGGAAUAUUGGGCAAUGGACGCAAGUCUGACCCAGCAACGCCGCGUGAAGGAAGAAGGCUUUCGGGUUGUAAACUUCUUUUAAGGGGGAAGAGUAGAAGACGGUACCCCUUGAAUAAGCCACGGCUAACUACGUG
rnacentral:rRNA from 1 species